rnacentral:rRNA from 1 species
GGGGGAUGCCUUUAAAUGCAAGUCGAACGGUAACAGGUCUUCGGACGCUGACGAGUGGCGAACGGGUGAGUAAUACAUCGGAACGUGCCCAGUCGUGGGGGAUAACUACUCGAAAGAGUAGCUAAUACCGCAUACGAUCUGAGGAUGAAAGCGGGGGACCUUCGGGCCUCGCGCGAUUGGAGCGGCCGAUGGCAGAUUAGGUAGUUGGUGGGAUAAAAGCUUACCAAGCCGACGAUCUGUAGCUGGUCUGAGAGGACGACCAGCCACACUGGGACUGAGACACGGCCCAGACUCCUACGGGAGGCAGCAGUGGGGAAUUUUGGACAAUGGGCGAAAGCCUGAUCCAGCAAUGCCGCGUGCAGGAUGAAGGCCUUCGGGUUGUAAACUGCUUUUGUACGGAACGAAAAAGCUCCUUCUAAUACAGGGGGCCCAUGACGGUACCGUAAGAAUAAGCACCGGCUAACUACGUGCCAGCAGCCGCGGUAAUACGUAGGGUGCGAGCGUUAAUCGGAAUUACUGGGCGUAAAGCGUGCGCAGGCGGUUAUGUAAGACAGAUGUGAAAUCCCCGGGCUCAACCUGGGAACUGCAUUUGUGACUGCAUGGCUAGAGUACGGUAGAGGGGGAUGGAAUUCCGCGUGUAGCAGUGAAAUGCGUAGAUAUGCGGAGGAACACCGAUGGCGAAGGCAAUCCCCUGGACCUGUACUGACGCUCAUGCACGAAAGCGUGGGGGAGCAAAACAGGAUUAGAUACCCUGGUAGUCCACGCCCUAAACGAUGUCAACUGGUUUGUUGGGAAUUAGUUUUCUCAGUAACGAAGCUAACGCGUGAAGUUGACCGCCUGGGGAGUACGGCCGCAAGGUUGAUACUCAAAGGAAUUGACGGGACCCGCACAAGCGGUGUAUGAUGUGGGUUAAUUCGAUGCACGGCGAAAAACCUUUACCCCUCUUGGCUGGGAG